CGGAGGGAUCAUUACCGAGUUUACAACUCCCAAACCCAAUGUGAACGUUACCAAACUGUUGCCUCGGCGGGAUUUCUCAAGCCCCGGGCGCGUCGCAGCCCCGGACCAAGGCGCCCGCCGGAGGACCAACCAAAACUCUUUUUGUAUACCCCCUCGCGGGUUUUUUAUAAUCUGAGCCUUCUCGGCGCCUCUCGUAGGCGUUUCGAAAAUGAAUCAAAACUUUCAACAACGGAUCUCUUGGUUCUGGCAUCGAUGAAGAACGCAGCGAAAUGCGAUAAGUAAUGUGAAUUGCAGAAUUCAGUGAAUCAUCGAAUCUUUGAACGCACAUUGCGCCCGCCAGUAUUCUGGCGGGCAUGCCUGUCCGAGCGUCAUUUCAACCCUCGAACCCCUCCGGGGGGUCGGCGUUGGGGAUCGGCCUCCCUCUGCGGGGGCCGUCUCCGAAAUACAGUGGCGGUCUCGCCGCAGCCUCUCCUGCGCAGUAGUUUGCACACUCGCAUCGGGAGCGCGGCGCGUCCACAGCCGUUAAACACCCAAACUUUCUGAAAUGUUGACCUCGGAUCAGGUAGAAUACCCGCUGAACUUAAGCAUA
rnacentral:rRNA from 1 species